rnacentral:misc_RNA from 1 species
GUAGGUGAACCUGCGGAAGGAUCAUUACCGAGUUUGGGUCCCUUGUGGGCUCGGCCUCCAAACCCUCUGUCUACCUUACCUCUUGUUGCUUCGGCGAGCCCGUCUUUAAUCGGACCGCCAGAGGGCUUUACCGUCCUCUGGCCUGCGCCCGUCGGUGGCCAUUAAAUUAUUGUUCAAAACGUGUCGUCUGAAGUAAUAAACAAAAUAAGUAAAAACUUUCAACAACGGAUCUCUUGGUUCUG